GAUGAACGCUGGCGGCGUGCCUAAUACAUGCAAGUAGAACGCUGAAGGAGGAGCUUGCUCUUCUGGAUGAGUUGCGAACGGGUGAGUAACGCGUAGGUAACCUGCCUGGUAGCGGGGGAUAACUAUUGGAAACGAUAGCUAAUACCGCAUGACAACAGUUAUUGCAUGAUAACUGUUUAAAAGGGGCAACUGCUCCACUACCAGAUGGACCUGCGUUGUAUUAGCUAGUUGGUGAGGUAACGGCUCACCAAGGCGACGAUACAUAGCCGACCUGAGAGGGUGAUCGGCCACACUGGGACUGAGACACGGCCCAGACUCCGACGGGAGGGAGCAGUAGGGAAGAUUCAGCAAGGGACGGAAGUCUGACCGAGCAACGCCGCGUGAGUGAAGAAGGUGUUCGGAUCGUAAAGCGCUGUUGUAAGAGGAGAACGAGUGUAAGAGUGGAAAGUUCACACUGUGACGGUACCUUACCAGAAAGGGACGGCUAACUACGUG
rnacentral:rRNA from 1 species